CCUAAACUAAAGAAACUGAAUGGAGAAACAAAAAAAAAUCUCUUGCUUCCUUGUGUUUUUUUUUGUUUGUUUGUUUGUUUGUUUGUUUUUUUUUAUGCCAUGAUACAUUAAACCCCACUGUUCCUGCAUCUGGACUCUGUGGUCACCCUUGACCUCAUCUAGGUCCAGUCCAAUCCAGUUGACCUGCUCCAGCCCCGAUUACUCUGUAUUUGUGUGUGUGUGUUGUCAAAUGGAGUGACACAGCUUGGAGGCAACCCUUAGCUUUUACACUGAAAUAAACUGGGUCAGAACCUAAAGGUUACCAGCAGGAACCCCAAAAAAAUGUGUGUAGUGAAAAUUAUAGCACACCCAAAAAUGUCUCCUGUUUUUUUUUUUUAAUAAACUUUCUGUGUAAAUUAUUUAGACUGCACCAAAGCAUUUAAAUUGAGCAUCGGCCACAUUUCAGGAGAAGCUAGAUUAUAGUGUCGUCAGAACUCAUCAGCUCUGAACAACUCUAAACAUUGACAUGACAUUAUUUUAUUGGCCAAUCACACAACUCAUUGUUUCCCUGUGUGUACAAUUUGGUUGGUUUUAAGUGGAAUUAUCCAAGAACGACUCGGGGUGAGAAUCUUUUUUUUUUUUUUUGUCAAGACUGACCUGAAAAUGGCAGAAAACUUGAAUACAAAGAGCGAAAACAAUGGUAUCGUAAUGUAAAUUAUUAGUUUUUGACCCAAGUAUUUUACUGAAAACACCAAAACAAAUGACUGAACAAGACUCACCUUCUUUUGGUUAGAAGUAAAAAUAAAGCAAAUGUUUUAUUUAUUAAUUUAAACCAGUCUAAUUGAGGUUUUCAUACAGUUUGUAAUGCAUCCUAAUUUUGUGCUUUUGAAACAGAUUUUCAUUGAUCUUUAUUUUAUUAAUCCCAACUAACCAAAGUUUCAAAAUCUUUGGUUGUUUAAUCGUCAGACUGAUGAAGGAGUCUUCGUCCACAGCUGCUCCCUGUGAGGACACGAUGCAGGGCUUCACAUGAUCACUGAUUUGAUUUUUAAUGCAAUUAGAAAAGUGUGGUAAUCUGCUCUACAGUUGUCAAAGUCUGUAAGACUGACACACACACACACACUCUUGAUUCCAACCCCCCCCCACCCCACGCCUCCAGUCUGUCAAACCUCCAUCCAUCUUUUCUCGUCCAUCAUGCGGCUCCUUUAUUUUUCCUUCUUCUUCUGCCGCGGUCCCUCAGCUGUCAGUGCAGCCAGUCAUGUGUGUGUGAGUUACAGCUGGACCACCUGCUGCUCACACCACAAACACACCUGUCAAUCUAAUGUAUUCUAUAACCGAGGAGUUUCUGAAAGAAAUGUGGUCUCUAAUUGAAAGAUUGAGUUCAGUCAGUCUUUGUCACCUGCUGUUUUACAUUCUCGCCUUUCGUUCUCUUGGGUGUAAACAACAACAACAACAAAAAAAAAACACUAAUGUGUGUAAAUGUCUACAAAUGUCAAACUGCACAGAUCUGCGUCCUCCCAUCACACACUGUGCCUCCAUCUUCAAAUCAGGGCUCAUUAUUUCUCAUCUGUCUCCACUUUGUUGCUCUUCAGUCACCAAUAUAUACUGUAUAAAAAAUAUAUUAAAAAAAACAACACAACUCCGUUUGACCAUCUGACAUAAUCAAUUCCUUUGCACUCGAGUGUCUGAUUAUCGAAGGUCUACUCUUUAACAUUCCAGUCCAGUAUAUAUAAACACAUGCACAUAUAUCUUAUAAUAUGUGCUCUGCCAAGAAGCAGCUCUGGGGCUUUUCCAUAUUUUCACGUUUUAACUUCCAGUGUGUAAAAUGGGAAAAAGUGACAUCUAGAGGUAAGGCCAAAAAUUGCAAUAAAUUGGCUAUUUAUUUCCUUCAGUGUGUUCAAAGACUAGAAACUGUUGCCUCGUAUGAAGAAUGACGACUAAGUUUAUCUAAUUAUUUCUUUUUUAUUGGCUUGUCUUUUUUUUCCAUCAGAUUGCAGAAAUGCAUAUACUUGUUUUGUUUGGUCCAUCCAAGCCACUGUAAAACUUAGCAAAGUACUAUAUACUCAGAGUACAAAUACAAGGCUUAUUCCAACUCUUUACAACAACCAAAUUUGUUUUCGUUGUAAUCCCAGCAAACGACAAUGUGGUCCAAUGCGAUCCUCCCAAAUGUUACACACUGGACCUUAAAACUCUUUCUCACACAACAGACCUGUAGAAAAUUUCUGUCCAACAAAAUGUUUAUGAAGGAGCCACAAAUGAAGGGAGCAUUGACCUGUUCCCUUUAUAUACAUGUACAUGUAUAUGCUAGUUAUUUAAAACUGAUUAGGAUAGUGCAUUAGCUUAGUGACAUAUUUAAGAAGAAAAAAAAAGAUUGCGGCUUCUGAACAUUAUUUAUAUUUGUUGUACAAUGCUCGAUGGUCCCCUCAAGCCUUAAAUCUCUCUCUCUCUCUCUCUCUCUCUCUCUCUCUCUCUCUCAUCUUUGCAUUGACGUGUGUCGUGUUUUGAUUUCUUAGGAUUGUUGGGACGAUGCUUGACGAGAUGAACACACACCCAGUCAGAGUUAGAAGAUAUUUUUCACCAGGUUCAGUCUCUCAAGCAUCUUUGUUGAAAAUAUGGAAGAUUAGAAUCAGAGAUGGAAACCAAGUCCAGUGGUCUGUGUGUGUCCUUUAGAAACUGCACUGUAAAAUAAAAAACAAAAACAAAAAAACUACUUACAUUCAUCCUAAUAAAGCCCUUGUUGGAACAGUCACUGAGUCUGAGUCUGAUUUAUAAAAUCUGCUAGUUUUAUUGGCUUUUUAUUCAUAUCUUCAUUCCAUUUGUUGGAUAUUAUUGUACAUGCCAUUGCUUGCACUCGUGGAAUAACUUUUAUAUAUUUUCCUUCUUUAUAUAUGUUUAUCUGGGAUUUAUGUAAGUUUUAAACAGUGGUUCCCGAACAUUUUUGGACAAACAUUUCCGGUAUUACUUUAAAUCUAAGCUUUUGUUUUGAAAAUCAGCGGAUAUGUUGUUAAUAGCCCCGUUCUCGCAUCAGCUUGUUGUUCCUAAUUGACAGGUUUUUAAUGGAAAGGAUGUUCGUCUCACUCACGCUUACAUGUUUUAUCAUCAUCGUGCAGUGAAUGUGUCAACAUGGUGGGCUGGACUGGAGUCAACAGAAUCUAAAAAGAACAACAACAACAAAAAACAGUACAGGUAUGAAUGCUCCACAGCAUACAUGUCAAACUCAAGACCCGGGGGCCAAAUGCGGCCGGCCAAGCCAUUUUGUGUGGCCCACAGCAGCUUAAAAAGC